AGCCCCAAUUCUUUUAUCCAAAACCUCAAGAAAAAUGGUUCCAAGUUCUGAGCCAACCAUUAUAUAGAGUUGAUAGAAUUGAUCUGUGAGUUGGGGCAGAAAUGUCCCUGCUAUAUCAAUGUUCAAUCAUAUUACAAUACAUAUCUAGCAAGCUCGACAUCGAGCCACAAGCCCCAAGCCCCAAAGCCCCAAGCCCCAAUUCUUUUAUCCAAAACCUCAAAAAAAAUGGUUCCAAGUUCAUGUACAUGUAAAUUCCUUGGACCAUUGUUGGUACUAGUACAUGUUCUUUCUUUGGCUAAAUAUGCAAUUAACAUGAAGGAUAUGAUCCUCAAUUCAACCAUUUAAUGCACAAAACAGAGAGAAAUACUUGCUUGUCAAUUAAUUCACUUGCAUUUGCUUUAAUCUUCAAGCUCAAGGAUUUUCACCACAGAUGCAUCACCAAGCUUCUGGCAAACAACAACACGAUCAUGUGGUUUAAUAACACCAGUUGCCUUUCCAUGAUCUAAAGCAACCUUCAGAACAGACUCAUUUGUCGCAUUUGUAGAUUCAGCUGGAUGUCUAGGAUCUGCUAGGAUAGGAAAAAGUCCUCUGACAAUUAGAGACUGCCUUGCCUCAAAAGCACCAGAGAA
rnacentral:misc_RNA from 1 species